rnacentral:rRNA from 1 species
UACCAGCACCCCGAGUGGUCGGGACGAUUAUUGGGCCUAAAGCAUCCGUAGCCGGUUUUACAAGUCCUCCGUUAAAUCCAGCUGCUUAACAGAUGGGCUGCGGAGGAUACUAUAAGACUAGGAGGCAGGAGAGGCAAGCGGUACUCAGUGGGUAGGGGUAAAAUCCGUUGAUCCAUUGAAGACCACCAGUGGCGAAGGCGGCUUGCCAGAAUGCGCUCGACGGCGAGGGAUGAAAGCUGGGGGAGCAAACCGGG